GUCUAUGGCAAUACCACCCUGAACAAGCCCGAUCUCAUCUGAUAUUGGAAGCUAAGCAGGGUAGGACCUGGUUAGCAUUUGGAUGGGAUAAAUUGGACUCUUUCCCUUCAUAUAUUCAUAGGGAGCAGGGGACU
rnacentral:rRNA from 1 species